CCUUCCUACAAAGGUGUGUCUGUGGUUUCCUGUCCUUGGCCACAUAAGAAUUAGACGCAGAGUUGUGGACUUGGAGAAGUCUGGAGUGGGUUUGUUCCUCAGCAGGCUCAAGAUCACCCUUUCCCACACAA
rnacentral:snoRNA from 1 species